AUGGGCGUCCUCUCCUCGCCGCCCGCGCUGCUCCGACGAGCCGCCGCCCUCAUCUCCGGCGCGGGCCGCCGUUACUCCACGCCGACCGCACCCUCUCACUUCCGCCGCCUACCCCUUCAGGGUGGGAGGAGCGAUACAUAUUGUCGGUUCCAGUUGCAAGGCUGUUUCUUGUCAACCACAGCUGAUAUGCAGUUAGACUAUGAAAGCGACCCCCCACUGGAUGACGCGAAAUCUCUCGAGAAAGUGUCGACACUGAACGGUGCUGUCUCUCAGCUUGCAAGUGAUUUCGAUAGAGAUUCUAAUCUAUGCUUGGAGCGCUUCUCCCGGACAAGGCGUGCAUCUGUCAUUUCGACUGGUUCUCUUAAGCUUGACCUUGCUCUUGGCAUUGGAGGUUUACCAAAGGGUAGAAUGGUUGAAAUAUUUGGGAAAGAGUCAUCUGGGAAGACAACACUUGCACUUCAUGUUAUCAAGGAAGCCCAAAAGAAUGGAGGCUACUGUGCUUAUAUUGAUGCAGAAAAUGCUUUCAACACUUCAUUUGCAGAAGAAAUUGGCGUGGACAUUGACAAACUCCUAAUAGCUCAACCUGAUUCUGCUGAAAAUUCAUUAAGCAUAGUGAACACUCUUGUUGGUGGAUCCAUUGAUGUUGUUGUUGUGGAUAGUGUGGCAGCACUGAUUCCCAAAUGUGAACUGGAAGGUGAAAUAUACAUGAAAUUUAAAGACGCACAAUCCCGUUUAAUGACCCGGGCACUUCGAAAAAUUCAAUACACAUUAAGUCGCUCUGAAACACUUAUUAUUUUUGUGAAUCAGGUUAGAACAAAGCGUAGCUCAGAUCCAUCUUCUGGGCUCUACAAGGAGGUAACCUGUGGUGGCAACGCGUUAGGUUUCUAUUCAGCAAUCAGAAUGAGGACUUCGAGAAGGAAAUUGCACUAUUGCAAAGAAGAGGCCACUGGCAUUAGUAUAGCAGUGCAGAUUAUCAAGAACAAAUUAGUACCAGCAGCCCUGAAGGAAGCUGGGCUCAACAUUGGGUUUGGUAAGGGAAUCUGCCAUGAAUCGGAGAUUCUGGAGAUGGCUUCUACGCAUGGAGUUAUCGUGAAGGAAGGUUCUGGGUAUUGGAUCAACGGCGACUUCCUGCCUGGCAAGGAGGAAGCCGAGAAGUUCCUACUUGAGAACGAUGCUGUGGCAGACGAGAUCUGCAGUACCAUGAGAAGCCAACUCUUUGAAACGUGA
rnacentral:rRNA from 1 species